rnacentral:lncRNA from 1 species
CUGCCAAAUACAGGAAGGCAAGAUCUGCAAUCUUCAAUCUAUUCCACUGCCAAAUACAGGGAGAUAGAGUUAUCGGCUUCAAUGUACUCCACUGUAGUCACAUGGAGGUAAAAUCUGCCAUCUUCGAUCUUCAAUCUAUUCCACUGCCAAAUACAGGGAGAUAGAGUUAUCGGCUUCAAUGUACUCCACUGUAGUCAGGGAGGUAAAAUCUACCAUCUUCGAUCUUCAAUCUAUUCCACUGCCAAAUACAGGGAGAUAGAGUUAUCGGCUUCAAUGUACUCCACUGUAGUCACAUGGAGGUAAAAUCUGCCAUCUUUGAUCUUCAAUCUAUUCCACUGCCAAAUACAGGGAGAUAGAGUUAUCGGCUUCAAUGUACUCCACUGUAGUCAGGGAGGUAAAAUCUGCCAUCUUUGAUCUGCUUCGCUGCCAAAUAUAGGAAGGCAAGAUCUGCAAUCUUCAAUCUAUUCCACUGCCAAAUACAGGGAGAUAGAGUUAUCGGCUUCAAUGUACUCCACUAUAGUCACAUGGAGGUAAAAUCUGCCAUCUUUGAUAUUCAAUCUAUUCCACUGCCAAAUACAGGGAGAUAGAGUUAUCGGCUUCAAUGUACUCUAUUGUAGUCAGGGAGGUAAAAUCUACCAUCUUCGAUCUUCAAUCUAUUCCACUGCCAAAUACAGGGAGAUAGAGUUAUCGGCUUCAAUGUACUCCACUGUAGUCACAUGGAG